UACAGAGGUCCCAAGCGUUGUUCGGAUUCACUGGGCGUAAAGGGUGCGUAGGCGGCGAGGUAAGUCGGAUGUGAAAGCUCGGAGCUCAACUCCGAAAUGGCAUUGGAAACUACCUUGCUCGAGGGUUGGAGGGGGGACUGGAAUUCUCGGUGUAGCAGUGAAAUGCGUAGAUAUCGAGAGGAACACCAAUGGCGAAGGCGAGUCCCUGGACAACUCCUGACACUGAGGCACGAAAGCUAGGGGAGCAAACAGG
rnacentral:rRNA from 1 species